CAAGAGCGUAUAUUAAAGUUGUUGCAGUUAAAAAGCUCGUAGUUGGAUUUCUGGUACAAUGCGCCUGGCCCGCGACCGUUAGGUCGUGAGUGCCGGUGCGCGUUUGCCAUCCUUCUAGAAAACGUUUCUGCUCUUUACCGGAGUUGGACUCGCGAUCUAGAUCUUUUACUUUGAAAAAUUAGAGUGUUUAAAGCAGGCUUUUGCUGUGAAUACAUUAGCAUGGAAUAAUAAUCUAGGACUUCGGUUCUAUUUUGUUGGUUUCUAGUACUGAAGUAAUGAUUGAUAGGGGAUAGUUGGGGUGGCUAGUAUUGGCCGGCCAGAGGUGAAAUUUCUCCGAUUUGUUAAAGACUAACUUAUGCGAAAGCAUUUGCCAAGGAUGUUUUUCAUUAAUCAAGAACGAAAGUU
rnacentral:rRNA from 1 species